UUUUUUUACUGUUUUCAGUAUCCUUGUUUUGUGGAGAUCGAGAAAAAGCUGAGGCAAAGAACUGAUGAAUUGAGAAAAAGUCCAGUGACAGCACGUGAAUACAAUGCAAUGGAGUCAGGCAGAACCUGCAUUGUGCCUAAUUUCUACAGGUGUAUGGACAACCCAGAGGACUGCUUUUAAAGUGCUUUACUUCCACUUGAUCUUGAUAAGAUACUACAUACAUCCGUAGAACCUUCCCAGAAAGAAGAAAAUGGUUCACAUUUCUUUACGUAAUCUGUGUGUCAAGCAUCAUUUUGUUAAAUAAGAUGUCAAGAAAUCAAUGAAUAAAAACUAAU